UAACACGGGCCCAAAAGAAUAGUGUCAAGGAAACUGAAACCCCCAAAUGAGGCCAUUUCAGCCCAAUGUCAAGAAACUUCGUUAAUGGAACUGG